AACGAACGCUGGCGGCAUGCCUAACACAUGCAAGUCGAACGAGACCUUCGGGUCUAGUGGCGCACGGGUGCGUAACGCGUGGGAAUCUACCCUCAGGUUCGGAAUAACUCAGAGAAAUUUGAGCUAAUACCGGAUGAUGACGUAAGUCCAAAGAUUUAUCGCCUGAGGAUGAGCCCGCGUAGGAUUAGGUAGUUGGUGAGGUAAAGGCUCACCAAGCCGACGAUCCUUAGCUGGUCUGAGAGGAUGAUCAGCCACACUGGGACUGAGACACGGCCCAGACUCCUACGGGAAGCAGCAGUGGGGAAUAUUGGACAAUGGGCGAAAGCCUGAUCCAGCAAUGCCGCGUGAGUGAUGAAGGCCUUAGGGUUGUAAAGCUCUUUUACCCGGGAUGAUAAUGACAGUACCGGGAGAAUAAGCGCCGGCUAACUCCGUG
rnacentral:rRNA from 1 species